UACGUAGGGACCAAGCGUUGUUCGGAUUACUGGGCGUAAAGGGCGCGUAGGCGGCGCGGUAAGUCACUUGUCGAAAUCUCUGAGCUUAACUCAGAACGGCCAAGUGAUACUGCAGUGCUAGAGUGUGGAAGGGGCAAUCGGAAUUCUUGGUGUAGCGGUGAAAUGCGUAGAUAUCAAGAGGAACACCUGAGGUGAAGACGGGUUGCUGGGCCAACACUGACGCUGAGGCGCGAAAGCGUGGGGAGCGAACAGG
rnacentral:rRNA from 1 species